rnacentral:tRNA from 1 species
GUGUGCGUAAUUUAAAGAAAAUAUCAAGCUGUGACCUUGAAAAUA